GAGAAGGAAGGCAAUGGCAGCCAUGUGACAGGCAGCCAUCAUGAAUGACUGGACCUGACGAGUGUCUGUGAUACUGUGAUAGAUAUUUAUGGACACCCUAAAAGGAAAUUUAUUGUGUUUCACCUCUUAGUGAAAUGCUGUUCUCCACGCAGAUCACAGACCCUGGGAGUGUUGGGUAUUGCUACCUGCCAAAGGCCUGAAGUGUGCACUACUGUUGUGCUGGUGGUGGGAUUGUCAGAAGAUGAGGAGGCCAUCCUGAUAGAGACAGUGUAGGAAUCCCAGAAACAACAGGCCAUGUUGCUGCACGUGGCUAACCAUCGUUGAUUUUGCAUGUCAGUUUCUAAGCUGGUAAGGAGUGCAGAUAAAAACUGUCACCAGAGGUAAUCCUGAACCUUGGUUGUACACCAGCACUGUAGUUGGCUUUAUCUCCCAUGCAGACACUCAGUCUCCCUCAGCACACCCUCUUACUGUCCAGGAAUUUUCUUAGCUAUACAAAUAACACACUGUGUUGUUACAGGUCGAAUGACCUAGCUCAAUCCUCUGUUCUCUUACAUUCUGUCCCUGUCCUCUUUUUAGAUAUCACCAACUAUGACUCUGACAUACAAUGAAGCAGUCGAGGGCCAUGAGGCUUUUCUGACUGAGGCAACACAGCCUGGAGCCCAAAUCCCGAGGCUGUGCACCAAAGUCCUUCCGUUUGUCACUGGUGAGCAGAGUCUGACCUGAAAGUCUGGACCUGAUCUCUCAGUGAAGGCAAAACCACUUGACCUCUGAUUUUGAACUGCAAUUGUAGCUAAUGCUGCUAUUGAUUUAAAAAUCUAGUUCAAUAUGUGAAAAAAUACACUCUUCAAUCUCCUGGAACAUUCUGUCUCAGAGAGGACCAUGUCUACACGUCAAAGGAAAGACCAGAUCCUGGUGCUUUCCCACAAGAAGUUGCUCAAUGUGGCUACCAGGCAGGCCAAACAAAAGCCUCUGUCUGCAGACAGGAGGGCACCAACAAUGUGUCAAGCAACCUCAUCUGCAUCGUCACAAGCAUCUGCAGUGUGGAUAUCUGGUCAACAUGGUCUUUUGACAGUUGUGGAGCCCCUCUCACCAAUAAAGGUUAGCAACUUGUCGGGCUUUCAUGGCAU
ensembl:lncRNA